UUUCCUAACUGUUCGUUCGGUUAAGUCCUCUCCUGUUCUCUGCCUCUUUCCCGUCGCCGACGCUACUCGCCCUCGACGCCACCGCCGGACGUUGCUCGCCCUCGACGCUCUCGCCGGACGCCUCUGACCCUCGACGCCGGCGCUGGACGCCGCUCGUCCCGUCGCUGGACGCCAGUCGGCCUGCGCUCGCCCCGCCCUUGCCUCCUCGACGCCGCCGCUGGACGCCGUUAGCCCUCGCUCGCCUCGCCGCUCAGCCGCUCGCCCUCGACGCCGCCGCUGGACGCCGCUGGUCCCCCUGGUAGAAGCCGCUCGCCGCUCGCCCAGCCGCCCCUGACGUUGCUCGCCGAGUCACCCCGAAGCCGCUCGCCCAGCCGCCCUCGACGCCGCUCACCUAGUCACCCCCGACGCCGCUCGCCCAGCCUCCCCGAAGCCGCUCGCCCAGCCGCCCCUGACGCCGCUCGCCUUUUGUGCCGGUAAUCUCAACACAUACUAAUACUGAGAAGUACAAAUGGUAAACAAUCGUCAUUUAGAAAUAUGCAUGACUGUUUUUACAGGUCCAGAGAUGUUUUGCACCACUGUCUCUGUUUUUACAGGGCCAGAGAUGCUCCUAAGUAAAUCAUCGAUCUUCAACAGAUUUGUGAAGUGAGGUGGCUGAAGACUUGGAUUGUUUCAAACAUACGAUUGUGAGUGGUAAUAAUUAGAUCAUUUCUGAAUCGUGUAAAUCUGUUAAAGUUAGAUAGGUUCACUCUAGACCAAUGCAAGAGUAAACACGAAUCUUGCCUGACUGAUUAUGACUAAACAGCCUUAAACUAAUGGUAAAAAAUCUAGAGAGUGCUUUUGCUCUGGAGAUCUGCACUGGGGUAAUCAGCAUAAGAAGAUGUUAAAAGCUGCUCCAUUUGGGGUUUUCAGGAUCGUAUGGUGUGUAUUUCACGAGAGAAUACUGAGGUUUUGUAGAGGCUUCAACUGUUUGCUGUUCAUUUUCAUACAAACUAUCCUCUGUAUAUUGUGGUGUAAUUCCUUAGCUUCUGUUUUUCCUGUUGAAACUCUGAAAAAAGAUUUCCUGUAAAGACUUGUUUGCAUGCUGAGAACUGAUUUCCCUGGCAAAUAAGCAUGCUAAUUUUUAAGUAUUGUCAAGUCUCUAUAAUGUUGAUUUCUUUGUGAUUUCAGUAAUUAGAAUCGUUGAGGAUGUCGCUGAGUCCAAGGUAUGUGCAAGCCUUCUGCUUUCUUCUUUCGUUGUUCUCAUGUGUCUCUGAUGUUUAUGCAGUACUUGCUGUGCCACUUUUCCCAUGCUGUACUUUAUUUUGUUAAUCAGAGCUGGAUUACAGCUUUCCACCGAGGCUUUUUUCACAAAAAAAUUGUGUGGCUGUUUUUGGUAAAAUAUAUAUUUUUCGGAAGAAAUGCUGUUAUGGUUUAAACUGUGUCCGUGUUUCAAAUUUAACUAAUUGAUGAGUCAAGACUGAAUAGCUUUGGUACUCCCACAAUGAUAAUAUAUUGUUAUGCAGAGUUUCUUUUGAAGUUGAUGCCACAUUGAGAAACUCUUUUUGUACAUCUGGCUCUUGGUUGUACAUAGUUCUGUGAAGUAUAUGUGUGCAAACAUGUGCCUAUUGUCUAAUCAUUUUUCUGUUUUUAACACAUGAAGGAGAAUCAAUGUGCGGUUCUGAGCUAAAACAGUGAGCUGCUGGAUUCAAAGAUAUAAACCUUUUUGUUCUUUUUUUGGACAGGCACCAGAAGCUUAGCUACAAAGCGACUCCUGGGGAUGAAGUUGAAGAUAUGUAUGAGUUGUUGAAAGAAGUUAAACAGAAGAUACCAUCAAUUGAGGCGGUAUCUUCCAGGGCAAUAACUUCUGAUUAUCAAGGGCUACUGGUGGAAAGUGUCUGUUCAAGGUUAGGGCUUGUUUCUCUGGCAUAUUUAUGGAAACAGGAUCAGUCAAUGCUUCUUCAAGAAAAGAUUGACAAUGGAAUAUUGGCCAUCAUGGUGAAGGUGGUGGCUAUGGGGUUGAAGCCCUGAAAAGCAUUUGGGGAAAGAUAUCUCUUUCUUGUACUCAUACCUCCAUAAAUUGAAAGGGUUGUAUGGAAUUAACUAGGGGAGUACGAAACUUCAACUCUCGAUUGUCCCCUCUUUGUCAAACACUGAAGUCAUUGAAAAGAGAAUCACAGAGGGUGUCAUAGUGCGCAGACUAGGCUUAUAGUAUCUCCCAGCCUUAAUGUUGCAAGUUUUGUUGGGUACAGGUGGUAUGAUUUUUCCUGCUUGGCUCUUGUUAUAUGUAGAGUUUGGAAGGACAUGUCUUCAUAUGCAGGUGAUUGAAGAAGCUACCUGAUUUGAUUGUGUGAUCCCAUCUUCUGGACUUUAUGGUGCCCUGCUUCCUUGGAGUGUUUUUCGAUGGUCUGGUUCCUGGAAUUUCCAUUGGCCUUUAUUAUAGUAGGACUUUCCGAUUUCCUCUGAUCAAUAUAGAUCUCCACAACUCGACUUAACUUUUCCACAGGGUUCUAGUUGUACAUUACUACUGUCUGCCAUUCGAAGGAAAGCCUGUUACAAUGAGUAUGAGGAUUUUACUGACUAGGUCUGGUCCUUCAGAUCUGCAUGCACUCCUAUGGAAGUUUCAUUUAUUGCGGCGAAACUCUCCCGUAGUGUUGAGGGCUGGGAGUUAGGAGCUCUUUAACUAGAAGUGGAAUAAUGCUUACUCGGUGUGCUCCCUAUUGGAGGGCCUUGUGAGAUACAAUUGAGUUUCCAAUGAGUGAUUGGCUUUUGUAUCUGUGUGAUCAUUAAUUCAAAAUGAAGGGGCCUGAUGUUGUAAGAUGAGAUAGUUAUCACCCUUUAUGGAGGUGCAUAUGGUCUUGAUUGUAGGAUAUAUACAAUUGUCAAGCUAUGACUUCUCAAAACAUUGUUCGUCAGAUUUUGGCUAAACUAAUUUUGCAGCGGCGUUUUCUCUUAGCUUGACGAUGGUUGUAUCCAGGAAGUCCAGUUGACUAUGUUCACAAGGCUCCGCCUUUCUAGGAGUUUCUCCGUCCGUUUGUAUUAGUAAACACACAUACUUGAAGAAAA